UCAUCAUAGUCUGUGAGAUUGACGUAAUCGAUGGAUAUGAUCUUUCCGGGUAUGAUUCUGGGCCUGUGAAGCGGGUGUGAAAAGCAUUUCAAGAAACAAGGCAUCGCGAGGUCCUUUUGUAACUAACCAUCGCGAGGUCUUUGUCGUUCCGGCCGUUUUCCCUCCAAACAGGUCACACCCUAAUCCUCAUCCUGCGUCCUCCCCCCGCCGCGGUCUACGCGUCCGCCGAGCUCCCUCGCGGCCGCCUCGGUCACCAUUGUUCCGGCGUCUCCUUUGCCUUUCAUCAAAUGGUCGUUUCGGCGUCUCCUUUGCCUUUCAUCAAGCGGUUCCGCGGCAAAAUGAUCGUGGUCAACUACGUCUUUCAUCAGCGACCUCGUUCUUCUUUCGUGCGACGGCCUACGCCCCAUCCUCGUCCAUGAUGACCACCCGGAGAUCGACUCCUCGCUCCUCCGUCUCGUCAUGAGGAACACAAACUUGGCUGACUUUGUGGUCCAAGGUUCAAUUUAGUUAGUAAUUACAUGGUGCAGAUUGAUCAUAUUAGAUAUCACUUACACCUACACAAGCGGUCAAAUGGUUGAUUGCAUUUGGUAAGUACUCAAGGGUUUCUUUCAUUGUGUUCUUGAGUAUCAUUCCUUUUUCUUUUCUUCUCUGAGUUAAAUUGUUGAGGUCAGGUGCCGAAGGUGAAGGCAGAUACCAAAACAAACUUAUAUACUGCCGUCUAAAUGGAAGCUGAUAAUUAUUGUUUUACUGAAAGUGUUACACAUUGGUUGCUUUGAUGUGAUUUAGAUGAUAACAAAAUGACAUGCAUUGAUAGUGUAUGAUUGUGACAAAAAAAAAAGAGUAGUUAGAAUUGUUAGAUUAUGUGACCCUAUUUAAUUGAUAAAUAAUAUUAGAUCUGAUUGGAUUCUAACGAAAGUUAUUAGUCAAUAGAAAGAAAGUUCAAUUAUGAUAGGAUUUCUUACGAGGGAGAAACUCUCAUAAUUAUUUAUUCUAGAUCCUUUGCUCUUGUCUAUAUAUAGACAAAACCUUCUAUAUAUGAACAUGAUAGAUCUACAUUUGAUGAUUUCUAGAAACUCCAUGAAAGAUAGACCUUCCUUCUUAGAACUUUUGGUAUCAAAAAUUCAAAUGUACAAGUUAUCAAAUGUAAAAGCACAUUCAAAUAUUGAUUAUUCUCUACCUUGGCAUCAUUGCAUGAGUCAUCAAUCAAUCACCAUUGUCAACAUCAUCAUUAUCAUGAAGCACUUUCCCUUAUAUAGCAUUGUAUUCUUCUUCCAUUGAACUAGCCUGCCAAUAGACAACAAUCAUGAUUGGUUAGGCAAGAGCCAAAACAAAUGGGUCUAGUUAUUAAAUUGGUUGAACAUGAGAAAACAAAACGUUAUCUUUCUGAUCUCAUAACACCAACUAGCAAUCAUUAAUUAGAAAUAGAAUAUUUUUAAUUCGAUGGUUAACGUAAUAAGGUAUUCCUUGUCAGCCGUUGAGUAUGACUUCCUAAUCCUUGGUGCUAAGCCUACCUCGCUAACCAAAUCCGUGAAGAAUAAAAGUAAUUCAAAAUAAAUUUUGAAUCUAGUCAAAGAGGGAAGGAGGAAGAGAGUGGCUAACCAAGAGUAGGUUCGCUGCUUGAUGAUGAAGAUAGGUGAGGUUAUCACCAAGUGCUCUUGGGCGUCAAGUGCCUCACCUGGUUUGGGUUAGCCCCUCCUUUCCUCCUCUCUUCUAUGACAAGAUUCUAUAUUUCUCUUAAAUUGGGUUUUGCUCUUCGUGGAUUUGGUUUAGGAAGGUGGGCAAACAAAACGUAAGGAAAUCAUGCUUUCUAUCUGACAAGCAAUACCCUGUCAUGAAGAAUGGUAUACACAUCAUAGACCAAGAGUUCUAAGGAGAAGGAAGGUCUAUCUUCUAUGGAGUUUUUGAAAAUCAACAAAGGUGGAGCUAUCAGGUCCAUCCUUUUAUUUUGGUGCUGAGGAGGAAGAUAUACCUCACAUGAUGGAGUAUGAAGAUCGCAACUUCAUCAAGACAUCUGGCAACUUUCUUGUUUUAUCACCUCGGUGGUUCCUACAAUCUGAGUAUGACUACACAAUGGACUUUGAUCUUGAUGUUCAGGUACGGCCUCGUUUUUUUUUAAAAAUAAUUUUCAUUCAUUACGUCAAACGAUAUACAAGACGUGCAUGUCGACUUGAACAUUAGACCUAUCGACUGUGCAACAGUAUACUAAGUUACUAACCACUAGAUGUGUCAACAGAGAAAAGAGUUGUGCUCUAUGGUUGGUUAUAUUUAAA